rnacentral:rRNA from 1 species
AGUUCAGGGAGGUAGUGACAAUAAAUACCUUACAGAGGUCUCGUUAACCGAGAUCUCUCAAACGGAAUGAGUACAACGUGAAUCCUUUAACGAGGAUCGACUGGAGGGCAAGCCUGGUGCCAGCAGCCGCGGUAAUUCCAGCUCCAGUAGCGUAUAUUAAAGCUGUUGCGGUUAAAAAGCUCGUAGUUGGAUAUCAGUGCGUGUCCGGUCCGGCAUGCCCGGCGAUGGCGGCAACGCGUGACGCCCGGGCUCCCAAAUGUCGGCUGGCCGCAUUCAAUAGUGUCGGACUCGUCGGCGNGCCGUUCUUCGGAGGGGCCUGCUGGCGACCGGCGGUGUUACCUUGAACAAAUUAGAGUGCUCAAAGCAGGCUCUCAAUGCCUGUAUACAUAUUCAUGGAAUUGGAGAAUACGUCCCUGGCUCGAUUUGGUUGGUUUUGAGAGUCGAAGGGAAAUGAUUAAUAGGGACUGACGGAGGCAUUCGUAUUGCGACGCGAGGGGUGAAAUCCUGUGACCGUCGCACGACGAACUACUGCGAAAGCAUUUGCCGAGAAUGUUUUCAUUAGUCAAGAACGAAAGUUAGAGGUUCGAAGGCGAUCAGAUACCGCCCUAGUUCUAACCGUAAACGAUGUCGACCAGCAAUCCGCAACGGUCACUCAAAGGACUGUGCGGGCAGCUUUCCCGGAGAAAUCAGAGUGUUCGGACUCCGGGGGAAGUAUGGUUGCAAAGCUGAAACUUAAAGGAAUUGACGGAAGGGCACCACCAGGAGUGGAGCUUGCGGCUUAAUUUGACUCAACACGGGACAACUCACCAGGCCCGGACACCGUAAGGAUUGACAGACUGAUAGCUCUCUCUUGAUUCAGUGGGUGGUGGUGCAUGGCCGUUCUUAGUUGGUGGAGUGAUUUGUCUGGUUUAUUCCGAUAACGAACGAGACUCUGGCCUAUUAAACUUGACGCCACCAGUCCUUAUGGACUGGGG